UACGAAGGGUGCUAGCGUUGUUCGGAAUUACUGGGCGUAAAGCGUACGUAGGCGGCUUGAUAAGUCGAUUGUGAAAGCCCCAAGCUCAACUUGGGAACUGCAAUCGAAACUGUCUCGCUUGAGUUUGGUCGGGGAUGGUGGAAUUUCUAGUGUAGGGGUGAAAUCCGUAGAUAUUAGAAGGAAUAUCGGUGGCGAAGGCGACCAUCUAGGCCAAUACUGACGCUAAGGUACGAAAGCGUGGGGAGCAAACAGG
rnacentral:rRNA from 1 species